rnacentral:lncRNA from 1 species
GUCUAAAUGCUGUUUUUAUUACCUCUUUGACCAUAGGAAAAUUAAUUUCUGGUUCUAAGUCUCAGUUUCUUGAUUUGUGAAAGGAGGUGAUGCUAUAACUGAGAUCUUUUACAAGCUUUAAACCAAUCAUGUUUUGUUGUAUUAUUUCUCUAUAUAGUAGGCAUAAAAAAGCAAUGGACUCUUUGUUAUUUAUAUUUUUUAUAGCCACUCAAGAAACCUAUUCAUGUUGCUGAUGUUUAAAUUUUUUUUCUGAAAUAAAUUGUCAUCAGAUUAUGGGACUUCAUACAUCAAACUCAAUUUACAGCCUGGCAUCACCACAGUGAUUGACAACUUCUACAUAUGCCCUACAAACAAGAGAAAGACAACAGGAGUCAUCACUUCACAACAAGAUCAGACUGCUUUUGCAUCAAGGAAAGCCAGCCACUGUCUUUUUCAACUUUCCUCAGUAUCUUUCCCUUUCAGUCAAUUAAAAGUACAUUUCAAGAACUUUGCAUGUACUGUCCGGCUUUUGAACAAAUAGUAACUCAUAGUUUUAGGCUUACAAAGUAUUUUCUCCUCAGUACUCCUAUUACAUAUUUAAUGUUGUAUAAUAUUAUUCUUCCGAUAUUAAAGAUGGGAAACUGAGGCUGAGAGAUUAUGACACCUUUGGGUGAUGAAAACCCAUCAGUAGUGGAGCUAGAAUUCAGAUUCUCUGAACCCAAAACUCCGGAUUCAAAAUCUAGAGUUGUUUUUUUUUCCUGUUCCUCUGAGACAGCUGGGGAUAAAGGAGUGGUGGAGAGGAUUUUGCAUAUAUUUAGCCUACCAUAUUACUUUCUGAUCUCUUUAGUGUAAAAUCCUGACAUUAUUUAGCCCUGGAUUCCGCCCCCCCCCCAAAAAAAAACACAACCACCUCAAAGCUGCUUUAAAUUUUUUUAUAGUUUUAAUACUUCUUUUCCUUUUCUUCUCUACUUUUAAAUGAUGAAUUAUCAGAGUUGAAACAUAUUUAAUUAUAUUAAUUAAUUCAUUAAUAAUAAAUAAAAAUGAAAGCAUUUAAUUCA